rnacentral:piRNA from 1 species
UACACUAUGUAUAUACCUCCUGCGGCCUGC